rnacentral:rRNA from 1 species
UACAUGGGGUGCAAACGUUGCUCGGAAUUAUUGGGCGUAAAGGGCGCGUAGGCGGCCAGUGCAAGUCAGUUGUGAAAUCUCCGAGCUUAACUCGGAAAGGUCAACUGAUACUGCUCGGCUAGAGUGCGGAAGGGGCAACUGGAAUUCUUGGUGUAGCGGUGAAAUGCGUAGAUAUCAAGAGGAACACCUGCGGCGAAGGCGGGUUGCUGGGCCGACACUGACGCUGAUGCGCGAAAGCUAGGGGAGCGAACGGG